rnacentral:rRNA from 1 species
CUUGCUUCUUUGCUGACGAGUGGCGGACGGGUGAGUAAUGUCUGGGAAACUGCCUGAUGGAGGGGGAUAACUACUGGAAACGGUAGCUAAUACCGCAUAACGUCGCAAGACCAAAGAGGGGGACCUUCGGGCCUCUUGCCAUCGGAUGUGCCCAGAUGGGAUUAGCUAGUAGGUGGGGUAACGGCUCACCUAGGCGACGAUCCCUAGCUGGUCUGAGAGGAUGACCAGCCACACUGGAACUGAGACACGGUCCAGACUCCUACGGGAGGCAGCAGUGGGGAAUAUUGCACAAUGGGCGCAAGCCUGAUGCAGCCAUGCCGCGUGUAUGAAGAAGGCCUUCGGGUUGUAAACUGCUUUUGUCGGGGAAGAAAUCUUCUGGGCUAAUACCCCGGGAGGAUGACGGUACCUGAAGAAUAAGCACCGGCUAACUACGUGCCAGCAGCCGCGGUAAUACGUAGGGUGCGAGCGUUAAUCGGAAUUACUGGGCGUAAAGCGUGCGCAGGCGGCUUUGCAAGACAGAGGUGAAAUCCCCGGGCUCAACCUGGGAACUGCAUUUGUGACUGCAAGGCUAGAGUACGGCAGAGGGGGAUGGAAUUCCGCGUGUAGCAGUGAAAUGCGUAGAUAU